AACUAUACAUGAUGAUUUGUAUUAAUCAAUGGGAAUCUCUCUGAAUAAGGAUGAGGGAGCACUCUUACACUGACACAGUA